AGAUUCCCUAGAACUAACAACAGUGGGGAGUAGGAGAACAGGGGAGAAGACAGACUGAAUAAUGGUCUGUGGAAGGCAUUGGUGUUUUAUGGGGACAUGCUGGCAGAAGAAAGAUGUGCUUUCAAGCCCGUGUCCUUAAUGCCAGCCAAGGUCAACCUGACAACAAUCUGCAGUGGAAAAUUACACCCAGCAAAUCCCAGAGUCUGAUCCUAAUUUGGAACUAACCUCUUAUUAGAUCUUUUUCAAGCACUUCUUAUGUGUGUGGUGAGCUGGACCACAGAAGUCCCAACAGAGACUCUGGCUGUGUAGGCUGUGCUGACAAUACGCAUGUGCCUGUGGAAGCGUCGCAGAGAAGGAUCACGGAGGCUUUCCACGACUGACCUUUGUUGUGUUUUCUGAAGUAUCUGCUUAGUUCAAUUUCAGUUGAAGACUGCACUUCGUAUAUUACUCUGCUGAUGCACAUAAGAUUUUCCUGUCAUCUAUCUAUCAGUCUAUCUACCACCCAUCAUUUAUCGCCCCUUUAUGUUUAUAUGCACAUACUGAGAAAGAUAUAGGUCGCUUCUAAGGUGAUUCAAAUAAUAAAGAAACUUUAUGUGUUUUUUUUCUUG
rnacentral:lncRNA from 1 species